ACCUUAGCAGCAGAUAUGCUGUCAGAGGUUGCCUCUCAGAGGGCCAAAUUAUUGCCUGCGGGUUACAUCUCUAGAUUGGAGAAACUCAGUGUGGAUGACAUCUCUGGAUUGCUUGUUGCUCCUAUUUGCAACCUCCUCGCCCCGGCCCUCCACACACUUCUAUUCGAGGAUAAGGGGAUGGAAGGCUUCACGGAAGAGCAAGAGAAAGCGCUGCAGCUCCUCACCUCCCUCCAGAAACUAAGUUUUUCAUAUUGCGGUGGGUCUGCAGUCCCUUCCUCAAGGGUUACAUCGCCUUUCUUCUCUCAAGGAGUUACAUGUCAUUCAGUGUGCAGCAAUCCGAUGGAUGCCAAAGGAGGGCCUCCCGGUUUCGCUGAGAAAACUACAUAUGGAUUGUCGCAGCGCUGAGAUAGACGAGCAAAUUGAGACAAUCAAAAGAACCAACCCAGAUUUAUCCAUCUCAUAUUACCCCUCAAGCACCAGCUGUGAGAUAGACCUGAGCGCUUUAUUCGCAUGAAGCAGUAGGACUGAGCAGGCCAAUUUAACUGUUGGCGAAGAGGAGGACGGAAGCAAUGAGGAUUAUUAUUUGGUCAACCACCAAGUUUAGUUUAUGCUGGCUGGGGCAGAGUACUGAAACUAUUGUACCCAGCUACGGUUUGAUUGGCUCUAUCUAAGAAUAGAAUAUCAACGUAAGUGAUGGCUCGCACUGGGAUGUCCUUCUUUUAAAGAAGUGUGCUUUGUGGAUGCAGAGGUAUGCAGCAAACAAAGCAGAGCAUAGCAUUCCAAAGGCAUCCAAAGGGUGCCAAGGUGCGAGGUGGUUAUUGGGAUUCAGCAUCAGCCUCGCAUGACUUGAGAAUUUUUUUGUUUCGCCUCUGUAAACUAGAUUGGCAGAAUUGAGUUUUUUUCCUAGUGUUCCGAUCAUGAUUUUGUUCCGUGACCACGGACCAAGUCAUCAAUGAUGCCAA